UGCCAGCAGCCGCGGUAAUACGGAGGGUCCAAGCGUUAAUCGGAAUUACUGGGCGUAAAGCGCGCGUAGAUGGUCUGUUUAGUUGGGUGUGAAAUCCCUGGGCUCAACCUAGGAACUGCAUUCAAAACUUACAGACUAGAGUACGAAAGAGGAGAGCAGAAUUCAUGGUGUAGCGGUGAAAUGCGUAGAUAUCAUGAGGAAUACCAGUGGCGAAGGCGGCUCUCUGGUUCGAGACUGACAUUGAGGUGCGAAAGCGUGGGUAGCAAACAGGAUUAGAUA
rnacentral:rRNA from 1 species